rnacentral:rRNA from 1 species
UGGGGAAUUUUGGACAAUGGGCGAAAGCCUGAUCCAGCCAUGCCGCGUGAGUGAAGAAGGCCUUCGGGUUGUAAAGCUCUUUUAGUCGGAAAGAAAGAGUUGCAAUGAAUAAUUGUGAUUUAUGACGGUACCGACAGAAAAAGCACCGGCUAACUACGUGCCAGCAGCCGCGGUAAUACGUAGGGUGCGAGCGUUAAUCGGAAUUACUGGGCGUAAAGGGUGCGCAGGCGGUCUUGCAAGUCAGAUGUGAAAGCCCCGGGCUUAACCUGGGAACUGCAUCCAUAACUGCCUGACUAGAGUACGGUAGAGGGUGGUGGAAUUUCCUGUGUAGCGGUGAAAUGCGUAGAUAUAGGAAGGAACACCAGUGGCGAAGGCGACCACCUGGACUGAUACUGACACUGAGGUGCGAAAGCGUGGGGAGCAAACA